rnacentral:rRNA from 1 species
GCUACACAUGCAGUCGAGCGGAACGACACUAANAAUCCUUCGGGUGCGUUAAUGGGCGUCGAGCGGCGGACGGGUGAGUAAUGCCUAGGAAAUUGCCUUGAUGUGGGGGAUAACCAUUGGAAACGAUGGCUAAUACCGCAUAAUGCCUACGGGCCAAAGAGGGGGAUCUUCGGACCUCUCGCGUCAAGAUAUGCCUAGGUGGGAUUAGCUAGUUGGUGAGGUAAUGGCUCACCAAGGCGACGAUCCCUAGCUGGUCUGAGAGGAUGAUCAGCCACACUGGAACUGAGACACGGUCCAGACUCCUACGGGAGGCAGCAGUGGGGAAUAUUGCACAAUGGGCGAAAGCCUGAUGCAGCCAUGCCGCGUGUAUGAAGAAGGCCUUCGGGUUGUAAAGUACUUUCAGUUGUGAGGAAGGGUGUGUAGUUAANAGCUGCACAUCUUGACGUUAGCAACAGAAGAAGCACCGGCUAACUCCGUGCCAGCAGCCGCGUAAUACGGAGGGUGCGAGCGUUAAUCG